AACCCUUAAAGCAGCAAGGAUAAUUGUGAAAAAGAUAAGAGAAAGAUAGAUACAUAGAGAAUAAUUGUGAUGAAAUUGUUUGGUUUUGAAUUAAAGUGGUCAAUCAUAGCGACGCAGCUGCCGAGAAGUACAGACAUUGAUAUCAAGAAUUACUGGAUCACAAAGCUGGAGAAAAAGCUACUAGGCAGCAAGCUACAACCGUCGAUGCCGCCGCCUGCAGGAAAACCCCAUUGCUGCUGCAAACACCACCUUUUCAUCUGCUGCAUCCAUUUUCUCCGUGGCCGCCAGCAAUUCCCAGCAGGGAAUUAACAACUUUCCCAUCGACCUAGCAGACGACCUAUUCUAUGGAUAUGAUCAGACUCAAGAAAGCUAUAGCUAUUCAAUGGAUCUCCACCAAGAAAUGGCUCCGCCCAACAUUCUUCAAGGGCCAAGCAACCUUAUUUAGAUCAUUAAUAUAAUAAUCUUUGUGUUUUUUUCAAAAAUUAAUGUUAAACUACUAGUUCUUCAUUAGCUAGGUUUCACUGAAACUGGAAAUUAAAUAAUGUCUCUGUGUUGCACUAUAUAUCACUUUCAUCAUCAAAUCAUUCAUGCAUGUAAGUUCCAUUCCUGAGAUAUAUGGAAUCUUUAUAUUAUCAACAUCAUUCACAAUUA